GACGAACGCUGGCGGCGUGCUUAACACAUGCAAGUCGAACGGUGAUGGGUGGAGCUUGCUCUGCUUUGAUCAGUGGCGAACGGGUGAGUAACACGUGAGUAACCUGCCCCAGACUCUGGAAUAACCCCGGGAAACCGGUACUAAUACCGGAUAUGACACAGAAUCGCAUGGUUUCUGUGUGGAAAGUUUUUCGGUUUGGGAUGGACUCGCGGCCUAUCAGCUUGUUGGUGAGGUAAUGGCUCACCAAGGCGACGACGGGUAGCCGGCCUGGGAGGGCGACCGGCCACACUGGGACUGAGACACGGCCCAGACUCCUACGGGAGGCAGCAGUGGGGAAUAUUGCACAAUGGGCGCAAGCCUGAUGCAGCGACACCGCGUGAGGGAUGAAGGCCUUCGGGUUGCAAACCUCUUUCAGCUCUGAAGAAGCGAAAGUGACGGUAGGAGCAGAAGAAGCACCGGCUAACUACGUGCCAGCAGCCGCGGUAAUAC
rnacentral:rRNA from 1 species